AGGGUUUGAUCAUGGCUCAGAACGAACGCUGGCGGCGUGGAUAAGACAUGCAAGUCGAGCGCGAAUCAUUCCGUAGCAAUACGGGAUGAUUUGAGCGGCGCAAGGGUGCGUAACACGUGGGUAAUUUGCCGUGAAGUUGGGGAUAACUCGCUGAAAGGCGAGCUAAUACCGGAUGUGGAAUGAGAGUGGCAUCACUUUUCUUCUAAAGCUGGGGAUCGAAAGACCUGGCGCUUCAUGAUAAGCCCGCGGCCUAUCAGCUAGUUGGUGAGGUAACGGCUCACCAAGGCAAAGACGGGUAGCUGGUCUGAGAGGACGACCAGCCACACUGGAACUGAGACACGGUCCAGACACCUACGGGUGGCAGCAGUCGAGAAUUUUUCUCAAUGGGCGCAAGCCUGAAGGAGCGACGCCGCGUGGGGGAUGAAGGGUUUCGAUCCGUAAACCCCUGUCAUUCGUGAACAAUGCUUACCAUUGAACAUUUGGUGAGUUGAUAGUAGCGGAAGAGGAAGGGACGGCUAACUCUGUGCCAGCAGCCGCGGUAAUACAGAGGUCCCGAGCGUUGUUCGGAUUCACUGGGCGUAAAGGGUGCGUAGGUGGCUGGGAAAGUUUGAUGUGAAAGCUCAGGGCUUAACCCUGAAAUGGCAUUGAAUACUAUCUGGCUGGAGGUUUGGAGGGGGGACUGGAAUUCUCGGUGUAGCAGUGAAAUGCGUAGAUAUCGAGAGGAACACCAGUGGCGAAGGCGAGUCCCUGGACAACACCUGACACUGAGGCACGAAAGCCGGGGGAGCAAACAGGAUUAGAUACCCUGGUAGUCCCGGGCCCUAAAC
rnacentral:rRNA from 1 species